UACGUAGGUGGCAAGCGUUGUCCGGAUUUACUGGGUGUAAAGGGCGUGUAGGCGGAAUAGUAGGUCAGAUGUGAAAUACCGCAGCUUAACUGCGGGGCUGCAUUUGAAACCAUUGUUCUUGAGUGCUGGAGAGGAAAGCGGAAUUCCUAGUGUAGCGGUGAAAUGCGUAGAUAUUAGGAGGAACACCAGUGGCGAAGGCGGCUUUCUGGACAGUAACUGACGCUGAGGCGCGAAAGCGUGGGGAGCAAAC
rnacentral:rRNA from 1 species